rnacentral:rRNA from 1 species
AGAAUCAACGCUGGCGGCGUGCCUAACACAUGCAAGUCGAACGAGAAAGUGGAGCAAUCCAUGAGUACAGUGGCGACCGGGUGAGUAACACGUGACUACCUACCCUUGAGUGGGGGAUAACCUCGGGAAACCGAGGCUAAUACCGCAUAAUAUCGAGAGAUCAAAGGAGUAAUCCGCUUUUGGAGGGGGUCGCGGCUGAUUAGCUAGUUGGUAGGGUAAUGGCCUACAAAGGCGAAGAUCGGUAUCCGGCCUGAGAGGGCGCACGGACACACUGGAACUGAAACACGGUCCAGACUCCUACGGGAGGCAGCAGUGGGAAUUUUGCGCAAUGGGGGAAACCCUGACGCAGCAACGCCGCGUGGAGGAUGAAGCCCCUUGGGGUGUAAACUCCUUUCGACCGGGAAAAUAAUGAUGGUGCCGGUGGAAGAAGCACCGGCUAACUCUGCGCCAGCAGCCGC